rnacentral:sRNA from 35 species
GUAUCUGAAGUCUGACGAGGAUGAGAACCUCCGGGGGCAAGAGGUUCGACCCGAGCGAAGCGAGAGAACGUUGCGCCAGCAACGGCCCGCAGUGGCAAGUCAUCCUCUGUCACCGGCAG